GCCGAAGUGGUGGAAUGGCAGACACGGAGCACUCAAAAUGCUCUGCUCGCAAGGGCGUGUGGGUUCGAGUCCCAUCUUCGGCACCA
rnacentral:tRNA from 1 species